rnacentral:rRNA from 1 species
ACUGAACGCUAGCGGCAGGCCUAACACAUGCAAGUCGAGGGGCAGCACAGGUAGCAAUACUGGGUGGCGACCGGCGGAUGGGUGCGUAACGCGUAUGCAACCUACCAUUGAUUGGGGCAUAGCCCGAAGAAAUUCGGAUUAAUACUCCAUAAUAUUCAUCAAAGGCAUCUUUUAUGAAUUAAAGCUUUUGCGAUCAAUGAUGGGCAUGCGUGACAUUAGUUAGUUGGUGAGGUAACGGCUCACCAAAACGAUGAUGUCUAGGGGUUCUGAGAGGAUUAUCCCCCACACUGGUACUGAGACACGGACCAGACUCCUACGGGAGGCAGCAGUGAGGAAUAUUGGUCAAAUGGACGCAAGUCUGAACCAGCCAUGCCGCGUGCAGGAUGACGGCCCUAUGGGUUGUAAACUGCUUUUCCACGGGAAGAACCCUCCGACGUGUCGGAGACUGACGGUACCGUGGGAAUAAGCAUCGGCUAACUCCGUG